rnacentral:tRNA from 1 species
AUAGGGGUGGCUGAGUGGUCCAAAGCAACGGUCUGCAAAACCGUAUAAUCGCGGGUUCAAAUCCCGCUCCCUAUUCCA